AGCCGGAAGUGGGCAGAGUUUGCACGGAGGCGGAGCUUUAUUGGCAAACCUGAUUGGCUUUUUGAGGCAGAGGAAGCUCACCUAUGGCUACUGCCACUACAGGUCCACAGGGAGUAAUGCCCGGCUACCACUGAUGUUCAUUAAGACCCAAGGGUUCUUCAGUCGGCUUGUGGUAGAUGCUGCCUGGCCUGGGACUCACCCUUCAGGACAGUGGGCUCCCUUCUGGCCCAAGGCAGGUCCAGAAUUACUGUCCAGGAGCCAAGGCUUUGAAUCAGGGACCUCAAGAGCCCGCUUGAUGUUCUACCCCACUAUGGCUGCGCCUGUACCUAAGGUGCAAAAGUCCCCUUUACUUUUCCCUCUACUUUUCUCCAGCAUAAGGAGUCUCUCCCCAUAGCCACCAUGGCUGGAAAUGUGCUGAGUCUCAUUUGAAGCCAGCUAGUCUCAGAGUCUCACAGAAGGCCCACUGCAUACCUAGGUAUCGCUGGUAUCGCUGGCUAUUUGGAGCUUAAGAGCUCUUCAAUCCUCUGACAUCUUGAUUGCAGCCUUUGAGAGACCCUGGGCCAGAGGAUCCAGCUAUUGCCAUGCUUAAAUUUCCAACCCAAAUGUAACUGUGAGAUAAAUGUUGUUUUAAGCCACUAAUUUUUUUAAUUACUGUAUUAAUUUUAACAGAUAAUACAAUAAGAGUUUUAAAAU
rnacentral:lncRNA from 10 species